rnacentral:tRNA from 1 species
UGGUUCGUGGUGUAAAGGUAGCACAGGAGACUUUGACUCUCUUAGUUGGGGUUCGAAUCCCUGCGAACCAGCCA